CACGUAGGGGGCAAGCGUUGUCCGGAUUUAUUGGGCGUAAAGAGCUCGUAGGUGGUUCGGUAAGUCGGGUGUGAAAACUCUGGGCUCAACUCAGAGACGCCACCCGAUACUGCUGUGACUUGAGUCUGGUAGGGGAGUGUGGAAUUCCCAGUGUAGCGGUGAAAUGCGCAGAUAUUGGGAGGAACACCAGUGGCGAAGGCGGGUCUCUGGGCCGAUACUGACGCUGAGGAGCGAAAGCGUGGGGAGCGAACAGG
rnacentral:rRNA from 1 species